rnacentral:rRNA from 1 species
CUUGGUCAUUUAGAGGAAGUAAAAGUCGUAACAAGGUUUCCGUAGGUGAACCUGCGGAAGGAUCAUUACCGAGUUCUCGGGCUUCGGCCCGAAUCUCCCACCCUUUGUGAACACACCUCUGUUGCUUUGGCGGCUCUUGCCGCGCGGAGGGCCCCCCUGAAGGGCCGCCCCGCGCGCGCUUCCGCCAGAGGACCUUCAAACUCCAGUCAGUAAACGUCGACGUCUGAUAAACAAGUCAAUAAACUAAAACUUUCAACAACGGAUCUCUUGGUUCUGGCAUCGAUGAAGAACGCAGCGAAAUGCGAUAAGUAAUGUGAAUUGCAGAAUUCAGUGAAUCAUCGAAUCUUUGAACGCACAUUGCGCCCCUUGGCAUUCCGAGGGGCAUGCCUGUUCGAGCGUCAUUACAACCCUCAAGCUCUGCUUGGUAUUGGGCGCCGUCCUCUCUGCGGACGCGCCUCAAAGACCUCGGCGGUGGCUGUUCAGCCCUCAAGCGUAGUAGAAUACACCUCGCUUUGGAGCGGCUGGCGUCGCCCGCCGGACGAACCUUCUGAACUUUUCUCAAGGUUGACCUCGGAUCAGGUAGGGAUACCCGCUGAACUUAAGCAUAUCAAUAAGCGGAGGAAAAGAAACCAACAGGGAUUGCCUCAGUAACGGCGAGUGAAGCGGCAACAGCUCAAAUUUGAAAGCUGGCCCUUUCAGGGUCCGCGUUGUAAUUUGUAGAGGAUGAUUCGGCGAGGGCUCCCGCCUAAGUCCCCUGGAACGGGGCGUCGUAGAGGGUGAGAAUCCCGUAUGCGGUGGGCCGCCUUAGCCAUGUGAAUCUCCUUCGACGAGUCGAGUUGUUUGGGAAUGCAGCUCUAAAUGGGAGGUAAAUUCCUUCUAAAGCUAAACACCGGCCAGAGACCGAUAGCGCACAAGUAGAGUGAUCGAAAGAUGAAAAGCACUUUGGAAAGAGAGUUAAAAAGUACGUGAAAUUGUUGAAAGGGAAGCGCUUGCAACCAGACUUGUCCGCAGUGGCUCAGCCGGUCUCCUGACCGGCGUACUCUUCUGCGGCCAGGCCAGCAUCAGUUCGGACGGUCGGAUAAAGACCUCGGGAAUGUAGCUCCUCUCGGGGAGUGUUAUAGCCCGGGGUGGAAUGCGGCCAGCCUGGACUGAGGAUCUCGCUUCGGCAAGGAUGCUGGCGUAAUGGUUGUAAGCGGCCCGUCUUGAAACACGGACC